rnacentral:rRNA from 1 species
UUAUGGCUCAGGAUGAACGCUAGCUACAGGCUUAACAUAUGCAAGUCGAGGGGCAUCAGAUCGAAAGCUUGCUUUGAUGCUGGCGACCGGCGCACGGGUGAGUAACGCGUAUCCAACCUUCCCUAUAGUAGAGAAUAGCCCGGCGAAAGUCGGAUUAAUGCUCUAUGUUGUAUUUAGAAGACAUCUGAAGAAUACCAAAGGUUUACCGCUAUAGGAUGGGGAUGCGUCUGAUUAGGUAGUAGGCGGGGUAACGGCCCACCUAGCCGACGAUCAGUAGGGGUUCUGAGAGGAAGGUCCCCCACAUUGGAACUGAGACACGGUCCAAACUCCUACGGGAGGCAGCAGUGAGGAAUAUUGGUCAAUGGACGGAAGUCUGAACCAGCCAAGUAAGCGUGCAGGAUGACGGCCCUAUGGGUUGUAAACUGCUUUUAUAUAGGGAUAAAGUCGGGGACGUGUCCCCGUUUGUAGGUACUAUAUGAAUAAGGACCGGCUAAUUCCGUGCCAGCCGCCGC